rnacentral:tRNA from 1 species
ACAGAAUUUAGUUUAACAAAAAUUUUAAUCUUGGAUAUUAAAGAUAUCUGUAAGAUAAUUCUUUA